rnacentral:rRNA from 1 species
CUACGGGUGGCACCAGUAGGGAAUCUUCCGCAAUGGGCGAAAGCCUGACGGAGCGACACCGCGUGAAGGAUGACAGCCUUAGGGUUGUAAACUUCUUUUCUGAGGGACGAAAAUCUGACGGUACCUCAGGAAUAAGCCCCGGCUAAUUACGUGCCAGCAGCCGCGGUAAUACGUAAGGGGCAAGCAUUAUCCGGAAUCAUUGGGCGUAAAGCGUCCGCAGGUGGUAUAGUAAGUCUGUCAUUAAAUACCAGUGCUCAACAUUGGUGCUGUGAUGGAAACUGCUACACUAGAGGAUUGGAGAGGCAUAUGGAAUUGUACAAGUAGGGGUAAGAUCCGUAGAUAUGUACAGGAAUACCAAAAGCGAAGGCAGUAUGCUGGCCAAUUCCUGACACUCAGGGACGAAAGCGUGGGUAGCAAAAGGGAUUAGAUACCCCGGUAGUC